GAACUCUGAGACAGGUGCUGCAUGGCUGUCGUCAGCUCGUGUUGUGAAAUGUUGGGUUAAGUCCCGCAACGAGCGCAACCCUUAUCCUUGUUUGCCAGCGAGUAAUGUCGGGAACUCCAGGGAGACUGCCGGUGAUAAACCGGAGGAAGGUGGGGACGACGUCAAGUCAUCAUGGCCCUUACGAGUAGGGCUACACACGUGCUACAAUGGCGCAUACAGAGGGCGGCCAACUUGCGAAAGUGAGCGAAUCCCAAAAAGUGCGUCGUAGUCCGGAUUGGAGUCUGCAACUCGACUCCAUGAAGUCGGAAUCGCUAGUAAUCGUGGAUCAGAAUGCCACGGUGAAUACGUUCCCGGGCCUUGUACACACCGCCCGUCACACCAUGGGAGUGGGCUGCAAAAGAAGUGGGUAGUUUAACCUUCGGGAGGACGCUCACCACUUUGUGGUUCAUGACUGGGGUGAAGUCGUAACAAGGUAGCGCUAGGGGAACCUGGCGCUGGAUCACCUCCUUA
rnacentral:rRNA from 1 species